CGAUGUACUCUUAAUAAGAUUAUCAUCAUGGUCUUCCAUUCUUCUAGUUAAAUGUAUGAGUUAAUUGUUACUUUACAUUAUGUGAUGGCCUUGUUCUCUAAAUAAGAAUAAUAUAAUAAUACAUUACGAAAAACAACUUAUUGGAGUAUUCAUAUCAUAGGAACGUUAAAAUGGAAAAUGUUACCGUUACACGAAAACUUGGGC
rnacentral:lncRNA from 1 species